rnacentral:rRNA from 1 species
AUGCUAUGUAUAAUAGCACAACGGGUAGUAAAUCUCAAGAGCAUUGGUAAGAGCAAUUGUUGGGUUGCCAGAACGCGUGGUGUGUAUAUCCUGAAGCGCACAAGGAGGAGGUCACCAGGUUCAAAUCCCUUCGGAUCUACAUCGACUGCAAGCCAGGUAUGGUUGCUGUUCUCUGGUUUUGACGGGCCAACUCAAGUUGAAGAUCAAAUCCGUCAUCAACAAGUAGCCAGCACACUCCCAGUCAUACCCAAUUACCCAUGGCUCCAUGAGGGUUCAGGAUCUCCACUGUUAAGCUGCAAUUACAACAAGGCCAGCCAAGCCAUGAGGUCUCUUUAUUUCGAGAUUCUUGUGAUGGUUUCAGAUUCAGAAGUGCACACCGUGGUCUAA